rnacentral:lncRNA from 1 species
CUUGAGGGAAGAGUCAGAAGUGACACGGUGCCAGAUUCAGUAAAUCAGGUGGAUGAGGGCACCAUCACGUUUUUAUGAGACUGCUUUAUGGUUGGAUGGCACUUGGCAUCCAAUCCAAAAACGGUGGAUGUUUCCACCAUGUUUUAUUAUCACUUGGGAAACAUUCAGGAAAGAAGAUUUCCAGAACUGCUUCAGAAAGGGGGAAAAAAUAUCCACGGAAAUUCCAGAUGAAUGGAUUUAA